GCUGGGCGUGGUGGCUCACGCCUGUAAUCCUAGCACCUUGGGAGGCUGAGGUGGGUGGAUCACCUGAGGUCAGGAGUUCAAGACCAGCCUGACCAACAUGGAGAAACCCUGUCUCUA
rnacentral:sRNA from 1 species